rnacentral:tRNA from 1 species
GCCUCGGUGGCGGAACUGGUAGACGCGCUGGAUUCAAAAUCCAGUUCUUUAGGGAGUGUGGGUUCGAUUCCCACCCGAGGUACAA